rnacentral:rRNA from 1 species
GGGCCCGCACAAGCGGAGGAACAUGUGGUUUAAUUCGAUGAUACGCGAGGAACCUUACCCGGGCUUGAAAUGCAGAAGACGUGUCGAGAAAUCGGCAUUCCAGUAAUGGCUUCUGUGUAGGUGCUGCAUGGUUGUCGUCAGCUCGUGCCGUGAGGUGUCGGCUUAAGUGCCAUAACGAGCGCAACCCUUGCCGUUAGUUGCCAUCAGGUAAUGCUGGGAACUCUAGCGGGACUGCCACCGUAAGGUGUGAGGAAGGUGGGGAUGACGUCAAAUCAGCACGGCCCUUACGUCCGGGGCGACACACGUGUUACAAUGGGCGGUACAGAGGGCGGCUACCCGGCGACGGGAUGCCAAUCUUCAAAACCGUUCUCAGUUCGGAUCGGAGUCUGCAACUCGACUCCGUGAAGCUGGAUUCGCUAGUAAUCGCGCAUCAGCCAUGGCGCGGUGAAUACGUUCCCGGGCCUU